UCUUGAAGCUACAAUAGACCUGGCCUUUCUUGCUGCCUCUGGCUUUCUGUCUUUCAUCCUCCUCUCCCUUUCCCCAGCCCUCUCUCCUGUCUCCUACAGGUCUUGGCUGGUGUCGGGAAAGGGGUCCCAUCCCAUGGCCUCUCACUUGGGGGAGCCAGGGUUCCUGCCCUGUGGGUCCUGUGACAUGGUUUUCCGCUCCUGGGCCCUGUUGGCCACCCACACUCAGCGCUUCUGCAUUGGCCGUCUGACCCAGGAGGUGACACUUGGAGCACAGCUCUCAAAAGCCACUGAACCACAGGGCCCCACGGUUGUGCCACAAGAACAUCAGGGCCUCCUAGAGCAGGAGGCCAGCAAACCGGCUCUGAAGAGGCUAACAGAGGAGGUGCAGGGGGUGCGGCUGUACCUGCAGGAAAUGCGACCCAAGAUAACAGAGGUUCCCCCGAGGUCAGAGGGGCCGACUCAGGGCCCCAGCUCCGAAGCUGCUGGGAGCCCAGGCGAGCGGCUGCGGGCGCUGCACGGGUCUCACGCCAGGCGCGUGGCGGAGACGGAGGCACAGAGCCGGGCCCUGGAGCGACGCGGCGAGGAACUGAGCCGGCGCCUCCAAGGUUUGGCCCGAACCCGGGGCGGGAUAUCACGCCUAUUCGGCCUGGAGCGGGAGCUUCGAGAACUCCGAGCAGAGGCCGGGCGAACGCGGGGAGCUCUAGAGGAGUUAGGGGCGCGAGUUCAGCAGCUACUACCCGAGCCUGGCACCCGGCUGAACUCCUCGCGAGAGGCAGAACUCUGUUGUCCGGUGCUACAAGCCAACCCAGGGACUCUGGCUGCCGAGAUCGGGGCUCUGCGUGAAGCCUACAUUCGAGGCGGGGGCCGGGACCCCGGCGUUCUGGGCCAGAUAUGGCAGUUGCAAGUGGAGGCAUCAGCCCUGGAGCUUCAGCGGUCGCGGACCCGCAGGGGAAGACGGACAGGUGCCGCAUCCGGGGAACUUCUAUUAGUGGAGGCAGAAAACCGGCGCCUAGAGGCAGAAAUCCUGACUUUGCAGAGGGGCGGAGGCGCAGCGCCCUGGGGGCCCGGAAAGCGGGGACUUGUGGCCAAUCCCAGCCCACGCCUGAGGAGGGAAGAUCCCCCACGCCUCCCGCCGCCAGUGGCUCCCCCUCUGCCACCGCUUCCACAUUCGACAGGCGGCCUAUUCUUGGGUGGUCCGGAAAAUGCUCCACAGCUUCCUGCAACCGUGACCAGGAACCUGGGCCUGGAUCCACACUUCUUCCUGCCCCCAUCUGACGUUCUGGGCCCUGCACCCUACGACCCCGGGUGUGCACUGAGAACUGUGUUCCCCAGAGCUGGCCUGGUCAUUUUCUACGACUUCCUGCGGGGCCUUGAGGCUUCUUGGAUUUGGGUGCAACUAACGACUGGUUUGGCACGAGAUGGACAGGAUACAGGAGGGACCACAGUUUUGCCCCCAGCCCUUUGCUUGCCCCCGCCUCCAGCUCCUGGGCCCAUGGGCAACUGUGCCAUCCUUGCCAGCAGGCAGCCUGUACCCAGACUACCACCGUCACCGUCAGUGGCCUUGGUCUGUGAGCUACAGGCCUCACAGGGCCUGGCCUGGGCUAGGGCACCGCAGCCAAAGGCCUGGGCCUCACUGGUGCUAUUUGACCGGGAUCAGAGGGUGCUAAGUGGCCGUUGGCGUCUCCCACUUCGAGCUCUUCCUCUGGACACCAGCCUGGGCCUUGGGCAGCUGAAUGGUAUUCCCCAGGUAGGUCAGGCUGAGCUCUUUCUGCGGCUGGUGAAUGCAAGAGAUGCAGCUGUCCAGGCACUGGCAGAGAUCAAUCCAGCAAGUGCCCACGAGUACCAGUACCCACCUCCGGUGUCCAGCUCAUCUUCACUGGGAGCCAGCUCCGCUGCCCCAAGAGCUGGCUUUGUUGAUCCCCCUCCUCCUGCAGAAGAGCCCGUCGGCUGCUGAGUCAAGGAGAGGGAUGAGGGUUUGGGCCCUUGUGGCUUUCACGCACCCCCACUGGCUCUGAGUCCAGAAGAACGUGGCUAUGAGUAGCUUAACACGCAUAGGACUAGGGCCUAAAUUGAGGCCUCUUCCCAAACCUGCAGCUUUACUCCAUCAUGUUCUGACAGAGAGUCCAGCAAACAGCAGACAUGAGCACAAAAUAUGAGCUCCAACCACAGCUUUACCACCUUCCACAACCCCUACCAGGGACAGCACUACUGAAGCUCUGCAAGACAGCUGGGUUCAGUCAAGUAUUUAACAUGGAAACACUAUAGCACCAUUGGAAGACAAAGGGCCCACAGCCACACCUGACUUCAUCACCUCCACAUCACACAGGAAUUUGGAUUAGAACUUCAAACACAGAGGUGGGAUGCCUACCACAGCAUGGCUUGCCAAGCGGUGCCAUGUCCUGACCCAGGAUCUGAACCAGCAAACCCCGGGCCACCGAAGCGGAACAUGCGAACUUAACCACUAUGCCACGGAGCCGGCCCCAUCAUUAAGCAUUGUUAACGCCAACACAAGAGCUCAACUAGACUCCUAACAACCUAUGAUGGGAAUUUAAAAUAUGGCAAAUUAGGCCUUAGAGCCAUGAAGUCAGGUUAAAGGACUUUUAUAAUUUCUAGCACUACUGCUUCUGGAUGGGAACAGGCACAGAAAAUUCCUAUAUAUUAUAAAUUAGUAAGACAAACUAAAGUCCUCCUCUAAGAACCAGUUACAAGUCACAAGCAAUUAACCUCUGUUUUAUCAAGUUAACUCACUUUUCUCCUCUUGACCAUGUAAUUUAGUGCUUCUGAAUAUCCACCAGCACACACCAUUAUCCUUCCAUGCCCAAACUGAUAAGUGGUUUGCGUACUUAGUUCCUUCACAUUAGACUAGAU